GGUCCCGUGGUAUAGUGGUUAACAUGCCUGCCUGUCACGCAGGAGAUCGCCGGUUCGACCCCGGUCGGGACCGCCA
rnacentral:tRNA from 1 species